UUCGAUUAAAAUAGCCUCAGCUCAGUGAAUAUCAAAUACUCUGCUAACUGAUUAUUACUGCUUUCUAUAUGGUAGUUAGGAACAUAUUGAUCUGGAAAUGAAGUUGGCUGAUUACAAUAGAGCUAUACUUUGUUUUGUGCACUAAUUUCACAUAUCUAUUUUGGUGCUGCUAACUUUGGCAUACAAAUAAUUAUUGCAAUUACUCUGCUUGAGAGUAAUUAUUGCAAUUACUCUUAAUUAUAUACCUAUUUCUGUUGGUGCUGCUAACUUUAGCAUACAAAUAAUUAUUGCAAUUACUCUGCUUGACAUUUUGGUGUAUAAACCUUCUGAUUUGAUCUUUAGAAAGCUUGCCUCAAUAGUGAAGUAAAAAAAUAUUUUUGCUUCCAUUUCUUUAAAGCUCAAUUCUUUUCUUAGAAUUUAUCUGAUUUAAAUUCUUGGUAUCUCUUGCAGUUUGUACAUCCAGUUAAAGAUUGUUUCUUUUGACAUUUGACCUCAUUGUGGAAGAAUCACUAAAAACUUGAGGCUUAGGAAAAUAAAGAUCUCUCAACUGUGAAUCCCCUAUCUAUUCCAUUUCACAUAAUUUCUCAAGGUAAUUCGUCUUUUCAUAUGCUAUCUUAAUUAUAUACCUAUUUCUGUUAGCACCAAUCAAUUCUUGGUAAAAGAAAGUUAGCGUAUUAUCUUAAUUUAUUUCCAAGCUUUUCCAACUUUUAAUAGCUCUGUUUGAUUCUUUAUUUCACAUUGUUCUUCACGGACUUUGGUAGAUGCUUAUAUUCGUUAUCCAAUUUGUAUGGAAC
rnacentral:lncRNA from 1 species